rnacentral:tRNA from 1 species
GGAGGGGUACCCGAGUGGCCAAAGGGGGCAGACUGUAAAUCUGCUGGCGCUGCCUACGGGGGUUCGAAUCCUCCCCUCUCCACCA